CUACGGGUGGCUGCAGUAAGGAAUAUUGCGCAAUGGAGGCAACUCUGACGCAGCCAUGCCGCGUGCAGGAAGAAGGCCUUAUGGGUCGUAAACUGCUUUUAUUUAGGAAUAAACCCCCGAACGUGUUCGGGGCUGAAGGUACUAAACGAAUAAGCACCGGCUAACUCCGUGCCAGCAGCCGCGGUAAUACGGAGGGUGCAAGCGUUAUCCGGAUUUAUGGGGUUUAAAGGGUGCGCAGGCGGGCUAUUAAGUCAGUGGUGAAAUCCCGGGGCUCAACUCCGGAACUGCCAUUGAUACUGAGAGUCUUUAGUUUGGUUGAAGUGGGCGGAAUGUCGCAUGUAGCGGUGAAAUGCAUAGAUAUGCUACAGAACACCAAUCGCGAAGGCAGCUCACUAAGCCAAAACUGACGCUCAUGCACGAAAGCGUGGGGAUCAAACAGGAUUAGAUACCCCCGUAGUC
rnacentral:rRNA from 1 species